rnacentral:lncRNA from 1 species
AUAAUUUCCAUGAAAGUACUUUCAAUUUUUUUAAGGCUUAGUCAAAUGUGCUCUACCAAUCGAUCAAUUUUGUUUAAACUACUUUAAACUAUACAACUUCUUGUACAAACAAAUUACAUUAAUCCCUGCCCCCCGGGCACAUCCAAGUUGGCAAAAAAAGGAUAGUACGGGGCUCGUAACCCCAGGUGGAGAGUUCGAUUCCUGGUUGGAGCAGCUGAGUGUUGUAAUAACCAGAGGAAGAGUUGAAGCAGUUUGGUGAUGUAAUAACCAUGGAGGAGGCUCCCUUGGGGUCAGGAGUGUAAAGGCUGUUCGAACCCUGAUCAAUUUGGGCAUAUCCCGCGAUUUACCUCCCUGAGCUGCUGAGGGGCCGGAAGUUCAGGGAUGAGGAUAUAGUCUGGCGUAAGCUGGGACACCUCAUUAAAAAAAAAAAAAAAUUACAUUAAUCCCUUUAAUACAAAGUAUUUGGGCUUUUAGAUAGCGGAAACUCGUACAAAAUGUCGUGUCUCUGCAAUAUGAUCAGUUUCUAACAUUUUUCUUCAAUUUAUUUCGGAUUACUGAAACUUAAAUUAUCAACUUGAGUUUUCAUACUUCAAACUCCCCAGUCUUCAUUGAUAUUCUUCGAAGCAAAGUGGUAACUGCACAUGUGACAUAUUCUUCUUACUUCAUUGAAAUUGCGCACUAUGUGUUAUCGAAUUUACAAUCGACGAUUGCAGAACAAAGUGCCCAUAAACUUACAAUUCUAUCAAAGAGUUCACCACCAGUGACAGAUUCCAUAACAAUACAUAUUUUUAUCUUUUCUGACCAUAACCUUCAACACAAAAUCUUCAAAUUGUCCAAUAAAACAUUAAGCCCCUAGCUAACUUCAUUUUCAAGAAGCCACCAACUUUUGGGCAAGAAGAGCCCCCCUGUCCCAUCGGCCAGGAAAAGAUCCACUUCAUUCACCAAAAGAGGUCCAAGACCAUUUGGAUACAUCUUUUAAGAUAGAUAUUACCUCAUACAUCACAACCACUGUAAAAUUUACAAUUUUUCAAAACAUAUCGGAAGUGUUGAUAUGUGACAAAUUUGGAAUAAUGUGGCUCUGGAUUUCCAUAUGUGCCCCCUAUUGGAGAGCCUGCCCCCUAUUUGGAUGGCGGGCCCUCCAAUAGGGGGCAGGCCAUCCAAUAGGGAGUGUCACAUAGGCUCCCUGUGGCCCUGGAUUUCAUUAGGGGCCUGCCUUCCAAUAGGGGGUGUCACAUAGGCGCCCUAUGUCCUUGGAUUUCUAGCACUGCUGGAUGAAGUUUUAUAUUGGUUGCUAACUUUUCUGUAUUUCUCCUUGUAUGGUUAAGCCUGAAAAAUGUGAAUUAAGUUAGUUCUAAGUAAAUUAUUGUGCCAGACAUGUUCGGACUUUUCUAGGAAAGUUUAAAUGUAAAAACUUAUUGCACGUAGACUUUCCAUGAAAGUACUUUCAAUUUUCUUAAGGCUUAGUCAAAUGUGCUCUACUAAUCGAUCAAUUUUGUUUAAACUACUUUAAAUAUGGCUAUACAACUUCUUGUACAAACAAAUUACAUUAAGCCCUUCAAUACAAAGUAUUUGGGCUUUUAGAUAGCAGAAACUCGUACAAAAUGUCAUGUCUCUGCAAUAUGAUGAAUUUCUAACAUUUUUCUUCAAUUUAUUUCGGAUUAUUGAAACUUAAAUUAUCAGCAUAUUACUUUUGUUUACAACAUUUUUAAUCCAUUUCUUGCAUCAAAAUGAAGGGACGGCGCCAAAUCCGGCAUCAUCAGCAAUGAGAUUGGCUGA